GCUUUAAAAAGCGUCUGCUAAGAGAAGGUUUCCACACCCUUAUAAAUGGUGGUUUGUUCUCUUUCCCAACCAAGGUGGGACAUCACAUUAAACAUCAGAAAAGUAGGGUUCAACCAAAGAUCAAUCUCUUCAAUGGUUUACCUUCCAACAGGAUGAAAAAACGAACAUAAACAGGAGCGCAGUUGAACGAACGAACGAACGAACGAUGUAGAGAUUCGUCGUAAAUUGCAUUUUUAAGGUGGUGAUAGAGCGUCCAUACUUUUUUGAUGCCGAAGGCUACAGCAAAAAGCGUACGUGUUAAUGAUACUGAAUAAAGGAGGUUCGAUUGAAUUCCAGAAUUUGGUAACUCACCAGAACAACACGAUCCCGAUACUCGUUGAUUUGUAUGUGUGACUGCACGUAGUCGUUCACCUGUGUACAGAACAAAUUUCUCACUGAUUUUUGAAGUACUGAUUUUCAAAUUCACAAAAAGGGUCAAUUAUUCAUAUGGAAUAUUGACAACUGAACUUGAAUACUUACAUUUGCUUUGUCUAAUGUGCUGAGACCAACACCGAUGGCAAAUACAGGAAGGCCCUGACGGGAAACAGAACAAGAUUCAGAAACAGGAGAUGGCAAACCUGAAAGGAUUUCUUCAAUGGCUGAUCAACUGCAGUGUCCCAAAUGAAAAAAGAAAAAAGAUCAAAUGAGAAUUAGCGAAUGAAAUUGAAGCAAGAAAACAGAAAUUGAUACCCAUCGUGAAGUACGAGAAUGACGAUGCUUGAAUGCGACAGUGUGUGUUAGAAGAAGGGUCGGGACAAGAAAGGGAACCUAAGAUCUUGCAAGUCACAAUCUUUGGGGGCCAAGCUGGUGUAUAAAUACUAAAGGGGUCGCACACCGACUCAACGCUUCUCCAUGACUCUGUCCAUCUCAAAUGCUGUGGAACUGACGCAAAAGUGAUUGUCUUUUGCCUGGACUGGGAAAAGUAAAAAAGGUAUGUCGGAAUCUCAAUAACCCAUAAAAAAAUGAACCGAAGAAGAGGAAAAAGAAGGCAACAUUCUGAAUGGGUUCUUCGUGUUUGUUUCCAGUUUUCCCUUUCGUCUUCUUUUUUCAAGAUUCUCCACUAAUAAAUAUACACCACAAACAUUCAAUCCUGGUCGUCCAACUGGUCGUUACAUAAACCCUUUACCAUUUGAUUCCCAAACCCUGUUGCCACUUAAUUUUCAUCACAAUAAAAUGCCAAUUCCCUUAAUUGUUGGAUCCUUCCUUAAGUCUGGAAACUUGAUUGCUUUUGUUGACAAAUCCGUUCAUAAGGGUUUGUGAUU